AGCCGCCGCCGCCGUUUUUCCCCGGUAUGGACGAACAGCGGGCGAGGUCUUUUAUGCCUUUCGCGGGAAGGUCAACAAACGGUGAGAAGCUAUCGAAAACGACCUGUUUUACCACAUUUCCAGGCCACUUGACCCACGGGGACCUGACUUUGCAACAUUCGUCGGGGGCGCUGCAAAAAGCUUAGCUUCUCGGAAACUCAGGCCUGCCUGUGUCUCUCAAGGAUGGACAGAGGUGGUUGUGGACUUAAAGACCCUUUGAUGUAAGGGAUAGAGAGAAGCUAAGUGAGCGCACCCAUCUCUGAGCAUUUCAACCGCGAGGGAAUCCGAGCAAAGUAACAAUAAGAUACAACUAAUAUCCUAGGAAUGCUGUUGGUUUACAGUGUUCUGUCAAUUUUCUCCUGUACUGUCGGGAGCCAUAAGGCUGCUCCAGUAAAGAAAGCAAAGCCACAGUCGGCACCUGCAUGAGGCUUGUCUGGUUAGCAGAGCUACAGACAAGCUGAAGAAAGAAGAAGGAUUGCGGAUGCGUGAGGCUUGUCUGGUUAGCAGAGCUACAGACAAGCUGAAGAAAGAAGAAGGAUUGCAGAGCAAUCCCUUGAAAGACAUCGGCUCCAGGAAAAUAAAAAUGAUAUCCCCUAAAAAAUAUGUUAAUCUAUUUUUCUGUGUUUAUCCUUCCUUUUCUAUCUCUAUUCACAGCUUUCUUACUGCUAAAGAUUUGCCCUGGGUACGUAAAACACUUGAACCAAAACAGAAUGAAGUUAUUUAAACAAUGUAAUGGAAAAAGCCUUUGUUUUGGAGUAACAAUUUAUGGCACCUAUUUUGUGAGAGUAUACAGGGGAAACUUAUGAUUUCAGUCCCUUUACUUAAAAAGAAGUUUGGGGCUGGGAAAAUGUUGUUUGGCCUAUAAAUUGCUAUUUUCUAUAAUAGAUAUAUUUUUUAACAGUGUCACUUGUAACUUUCAUCCCUUGUGGGGGCAUUUGUUAAUUUUUGGGUAUAAUACUCCUUUCUAUUGAAAUUGGUGGUUUGGAACUUACGUAAAUCAGCACAAUAGGUUAAAUGCUUAGCUUGCUGGCGCCAAAUAAAUCGUGGUUUUAAGAAUGCCAUGAGCCCAAGGCUUUCAUGCGUUUUGUUAACUACAUACACCUUUAGUUAAAGAAUGUUAGGUAUCAUAGUUUAUUACUUAUUAAAGCUUUGUUCUUAAUAUAGAAUAGAAUAGCUACUGUUGUUGACCUUUUAAGAAAAAUACAGUGUGAAACUUUAAGUUUGUAAUCUUGAAGGAAAAUCUGAAGUUGAAAGGAACAUGUUUUAACUAACCUUUUUUUGUAUCUCGGGUGGAGGGAACAAAAGGGCUUUAAAUCAAAUGUUAAUGUCAAAUCUUACACGAAACCUGAUUGUGAUAGGGUAUAAAAACUGAUGCUUUUCAUUUAAUAAAUUGGGUCAUCUGCAGCAUGCA
rnacentral:lncRNA from 1 species